AGAACGAACGCUGGCGGCAUGCCUAAUACAUGCAAGUCGAACGAACUCUUCGGAGCUAGUGGCGCACGGGUGCGUAACGCGUGGGAAUCUGCCCCUUGGUUCGGAAUAACAGUUGGAAACGACUGCUAAUACCGGAUGAUGACGAAAGUCCAAAGAUUUAUCGCCAAGGGAUGAGCCCGCGUAGGAUUAGCUAGUUGGUGAGGUAAAGGCUCACCAAGGCAACGAUCCUUAGCUGGUCUGAGAGGAUGAUCAGCCACACUGGGACUGAGACACGGCCCAGACUCCUACGGGAGGCAGCAGUAGGGAAUAUUGGACAAUGGGCAAAGCCUGAUCCAGCAAUGCCGCGUGAGUGAUGAAGGCCUUAGGGUUGUAAAGCUCUUUUACCCGAGAUGAUAAUGACAGUACCGGAGAAUAAGCUCCGGCUAACUCCGCGCCAGCAGCCGC
rnacentral:rRNA from 1 species